CAGAAAUGAAAGAUAUUGGAUCUGCAUGCAUGCCAUUCCAGAUCAUCGGCCUCGACGGCACUGUUGGCUAUUCCAUCGCACCGUCGUGCGAGCAAGACCCUUUUCUCCACCCUUCACCCAGCUAUCAUGGCUAAGGGCACGUCUUCCCUAGCCGCGAACACACAUAUGUGAGUAGGCUGUCGCCGAUUAAGGUUUUGCGCAAGGCACUACCGUUGCUGACGACGUGCUCUACUGCUCUCCGUCCUCCAGCGCAGUCGACAUGAGGUCGUCCUUGUGCAACAGGCACAGCUCGCGCGAGCUCCAUCGGGGACAAGGCCAUACCUCAACGGAGUGCAAGGUCGGCCGCGCCGUUCGGGAGUGAUGGAUGCGCAUAGCUGGUGGUGCGGGCAUGGGUACCGGCACACGGCGCAACUCUCUUUUUUCUUGUGAUAACAGAUCAAUAACAUAUCAUACCUUCCAAUUGCAUAGCUGAAUCGAAACAUGUCGCGUAGGAUAGUUCGGCUAGGCCGGAGACCUGCUGUUGGGGACUUGUUCUCAAAUGCUAUGAGUUAAGAACAAGGCAACACAAAAAUGUUAAUGGUUAAAGUCCUUCGUCCUUUGAAGCAUUAUCUCCCUUAGGAUAUAAUGAUCUUCAGACGAAGGUCAUGAAGGAUGUACCUUCAUCAUCACAGUAUAUAUUAAUGAAAGAAGAAGCAUAAGAAACAUGAGAGAUAACAUGAAUAAUCAUAUAACACCAUUAAUAUAUCUUUAUUAUAUCAUCAUGAAUGAAUAUGAACAAUAUUGAAUUACAUUUGUACCUUCGGCUUGACAGAAGGCAAAAGUCCAUACGUGACGCACAAGUGAAUACAAGUUAGCGUGAACAGUAUGGGUGUACUGUUCAUCUAUUUAUAGGCACAGGGCGCAGCCUGUGUAAAAUUACACUCAUGCCCUUUAUGUUUACUAUUGACUUAAGGACAAUCUAUCGAGGGCUAGAUAGCCUUUUCCUCUUUAAGUCGGUUUCUUUUUCUGCUGCUGAGCCGAAGCUUCCUUGCGCGUAGCUUCGGAACUAGUUUAACCUUCAUCCCGACCAUGCUUUUCAUAUUGUGUACAACUUCAUUCCGAGUCCAAAGGUUCC
rnacentral:lncRNA from 1 species